rnacentral:rRNA from 1 species
CCUACGGGGGGCAGCAGUGGGGAAUAUUGGACAAUGGGGGGAACCCUGAUCCAGCCAUGCCGCGUGUGUGAAGAAGGCCCUCGGGUUGUAAAGCACUUUCAGUGAGGAAGAACGCCUGGUGGUUAAUACCCAUCAGGAAAGACAUCACUCACAGAAGAAGCACCGGCUAACUCCGUGCCAGCAGCCGCGGUAAUACGGAGGGUGCGAGCGUUAAUCGGAAUUACUGGGCGUAAGCGCGCGUAGGUGGCUUGAUAAGCCGGUUGUGAAAGCCCCGGGCUCAACCUGGGAACGGCAUCCGGAACUGUCAAGCUAGAGUGCAGGAGAGGAAGGUAGAAUUCCCGGUGUAGCGGUGAAAUGCGUAGAGAUCGGGAGGAAUACCAGUGGCGAAGGCGGCCUUCUGGACUGACACUGACACUGAGGUGCGAAAGCGUGGGUAGCAAACAGGAUUAGAUACCCGUGUAGUC